rnacentral:tmRNA from 1 species
UCAGCCAUCGUCCGUUGGGGGAGGCGCUUACUCUGAAGCCAAUGGAUGGCAUAACCCGCGCUUGAGCUUCGGUUCGCGCAAGUAAGCCCCCUCUGUUUUUGCCUGAAAAGACAGACGGGUGACACAAAGAAGGAUAGUGAAUCGGACUUUACAGGUGUAGCAACGAUUCGCGAAACACUAAACACCUGAGAUGAGUGUGGUAGCUUUAUCGAGCAAUGUUUUGGACGCGGGUUCGACUCCCGCCAUCUCCACCA